GAACGGGGUGGGGCUUGGCGUUAGUGUUUCCGCUAGAGUUUAGUCUUUGUGUAGGCUUCAUGGUGGGAGAAUUUCCUCCCGGGACAGUAGUAGCAGCGUUUUAGACUGGAAGAAAGCCCAUAAAUUGCCUUUCGGAUCCUAGCCAUCCAGAGGCAUCUUUUAAGAAGUUUCUCUCGGAAUGGGGCCUUCCCAAUCCUGUUAGAGCGCAAUGCCAUACUUUUAGAAGAUGUCAGUGCUGUGGAAUGAGAUGGCCAACCAUCAUAUGUAUGCUGCAACUCAGAGAUACAGCUGUGAAUUCUCAGAAUACGGUACUGAUGGCCCUGUCGUCCAGUGCAUCCAAUGUCUGAUUUUCAUCUUGGCCAGCUUUCUACUAUGCCUUAGACAAAACUCAACCAUUCUCUUCCAUGAUGUAGAAUGGCUACUGAAAAGGAAGAAGAAAAGAAAGCUUUCAGAGGACAGUGAAGAGCUAUAGAGAAAAUCCCUUCUGGGAGCACCAUGAUCCCCAGGGAGCACUAUGAUACCUGGAGGCGGUAGAGGUAAGCUGGUAAGUUUGUCAAACCUGCUUCAGGGACACUCCAUGUGGUCCUGGGCUGAGAUAUUUUUGAAGCUGGUGCAAGCAGCAGUGGGGAAAUGGGGGCCUAGUGGUAUGGUGGUCAUUCCAGAAAUGUAACCCCUCAGAAACGUGCUACCCAGCCUCUUAUAAGAAGGGUAAAACAAAUAAAGCUGCUGCCUAUUUGGAACAUACGCUGGCUCCUUCCACAUCUGCAGGACAUUUAGCUCCUUGCAUCUGGUAAUGUUUGUGCAAAUAUAAUUCCAUAUUCACUAAUAAUUCCUGGGGCUAAAGGCCCCCCCUCGGGUAACCUUGUUAAUAUUCUCUCAAGGCCUGGUGUGAACGCCUCAUAGCAUUUUGAUUAGAAUUCAAUCUUGUGUUUUUUUCCCUCUCUGUCUCUUUCUCCCUCUCUCCUCUCAUGCUUUUCUGGCCCCCGGUUUCCUGGCCACCCACAUCAGGAGACAUUCUCCCUCCCUUCCACUCUCCAUUCUCAGUUUCAAGGAAUUUCCUUGUGUCAAAGGCAAAGUGUGAUUGACAUAUUUUCCCCCUCUUAAGAGCAGUCAUCUCGGUGUUUGAUUUAACCAUCUCCUUAUGGGGCUCGUACAAUCAUUACCUGGGUGAAAAAGAGACCUCCUGCUCACCCUCACGCUCAGACCCACGUAGCUCAGUAUUUUUGUAGACUUUUAAAUUGCUGCUCUCCUUCCUCUUUUUUUCUACCCUUUUCUUUCUUUUUGGUUGGCACUACCAAAUGACUCCCUGGUGUGUUGUACCCUGAGCCGUAAGGGUUUUAGUUGUCCGCCAACAGGUAGACCAGCUGCCUCCUGCCAGUGCCAAGAAAAGCAUUUGCUGCUCUUUAGAUCUGGGGGAAAGAAUGGAGAUAGAAUGAACUGUCUAGUUUUGAAUUCACCGCCUUUAGGCAGGUUGUUUUCCUUUGGUGCCUUAGUCUUACUUGACCGGCUUAUUUGUCACUCAGGAGAAGAAAACAGAAAACAGAAACAAAAGCAAAUUAGCCAUAGCAUGAAGAAUUGUAUUUAAACCCAAGAGGGAUUUCUUGGCAGUGAAGUUCUUAAUGUUGGAGUGAUUCUGGAAUGUAGGCCCCCUCUCUCAGGCUGCCUUAUCAUUGAAUUACUGUGGGUUCUAAGGGUUUCUGCCUGAAGGGGCUGAACUAGAUGACCUUGGAAGGUCACUUGCAGCUUUUCAGUUCAGCAGGAAUCCCCAUCUUUUCUGUGAAGGGCCACACUUCUCACAGUAUUAGAGCAGAUUCUGUCCUAAGGGGAUUGCUCAUGUCUCUCUAGAGUAGCCUGAAUCAUAUCUCCUGCCACUGAUUGUGAUAAGCCGCCUACUCAGAGCUCCCAAUUGCAGGCAACUCUGUUGCCUCACAAUAAUUGCAUUCUUCAGUAACCUCCUGUGCCCCAAUCCCAUUGUUUCAGAAGGAAACAAAGUGCUAGAAGAUAGAGCCUUGCAUUGGCAAUAACAAAGUUGAUGUUUUUUUUCCCCCUGCAGGAAUUUGAGUGAUGCAGUUUUAAUAAAAUAGAAAGCUGUCUGUA